AUGCCGGAGCCACCGGCGGGCCAGCGCUUCUCGGGCCUCCGCGGCGCGCGGUGGCGCGCCGAUCUAGGCGUCCUGCCCGGCUCCCCCGACGUCCCCACCACCGAGCUCCGCCGCGCCGCCGCCGACUCCCGCCGCAGAUACGCUAAUUUGCGGCGGCGGCUGCUGAUAGAUCCCCAUCUCUCCAAGGACGAAGACGGUGCUCCUAAUCUUGUUGUGGAGAAUCCACUGUCACAGAACCCAGAAAGCACUUGGGGUCAAUAUUUCAGGAAUGCAGAACUAGAGAAAAUGCUGAACCAAGACCUGUCCCGACUCUAUCCUGAAUUGGGAGAAUUUUUCCAAACAACCACAUGUCAGUCCAUGCUUGAACGCAUACUGCUAGUAUGGAGCCUUAGAUACCCAGAGUUUGGGUAUAAACAAGGAAUGCAUGAACUCCUAGCUCCUCUGUUCUAUGUCCUUCACAUUGAUGUGCAGCACUUUAAACAAGUUAAGGAGCUUCAUGAAGAGCUUCUUGGUGACGAUUUUGAUGGCCAGACAUUUCCAGAUAGGUUUUUGCUGAACAGGAGUGACAGGGCUAACAAUUCUGAGGGCGGUGCAGCUAAAAUUAGAAGUUUGGACGAGCUUGAUGCUGAUACUAGGGACCUCCUCUUGAUAAAUGAUGCAUAUGGAGCAGAGGGUGAGCUAGGUAUCAUUUUAUCUGAAAAGUUCAUGGAGCAUGAUGCCUAUUGUAUGUUUGAGAAUUUGAUGAACGGGUUGAUGAAUGGUGCACAAGGUGUGGUUGCUAUUACCGAUUUCUAUUCUCUCAGUCCUGCAUCAGAAUCAAGCAUGGGUUUAACACCUGUAAGGGAGGCAUCAGCUGCCAUAUAUCACUUGCUUGCUAGUGUGGAUUCCUCUCUUCACAGUCAUCUUGUGGAGUUGGGAGUAGAACCUCAGUACUUUGCACUCCGAUGGCUUCGAGUCCUAUUUGGUCGUGAAUUUACACUCGACAAUCUUCUGUUUAUUUGGGAUGAAAUCUUCUCUUCUCCAAACCAUUCAUAUUGUACAGACAUAAAAAAUCGGGGAGACUAUCAGUUUAAGGUUUUAUGUUCUCCCCGUGGUGCCCUGAUUUUGUCAAUGGCAGUCUCAAUGAUGCUUCAUCUCAGAUCCUCCUUGCUGGGAAGUGAGCAUGCGACUUCUUGCCUGGUGAGAUUAUUAAAUUUUCCUCAAGAUAUUGACUUGAAGAACUUGAUUGAGAAGGCCAAGUUAUUGCAGUCGUUAGCUCUAGAAGCAAAUCUUCCGUUGUCUCCCCUGACAGGAAAAUCUCCCUUGACUCCACCCAAUUAUUGGGAAGAGACAUGGAAGAUGCUUCAGAUGUCAGGAGACAAACGAAGUGGUGGUUCAACUGUUAGGAUAAAAGGAAGGGGAUUUUUAAGAAGAAGCGUGUCCAACACCGAAUCAAAUGUUUCUAGAACAAAGGGUGCCAAUGUUGAUAACAGCAAUUCGACUUCAACUAGCCAGCCUGAGCCUAUUGUUGAUGAACUGAACACCACUGAUAUAGUUCCUGUCAAAUUGAUAAACAGUUUACCAACCAUGCCUAUAGUACACCAAAAGGAUUGUGUUGGUCAAGGUACUGCAGAGAUCGUUAGAAGUACCUCAAACAGUCUAUGUGAGGCAGGCCCGCAUGAUGGUUACCAUACAACUUCUGCCAAAAUUAGAGAUCGUAUUGAUGGAGCUCGUGAGUAUUUAUCAAGGAAUAGGCCUCCAUCCUUUCGGCGUCGUACUGAUCAUGACCAUGAUGCCCGUCAUGAGGAAGAACCAUGUGUUUCCCAUGGCGCCAAGGUGGUUAAUGAGCCAGAUACACUGUCUGUGCAUAAUGAUAAGACUGAUGAACCCUGUCAGGGUGAUGGUAAGACUGAUGAAGCAGCAAUUACAGAUCGAACAUUUGAAUCGGUGGAUUAUCAACCAAAUCAAGAGCAUAGCAUAUGUUCUGACGUAGGCCCAAGUUUGAAGGUGGCUGAUAAGGAGUUGGUCGGAACAUUAAGGUCUUUUGGCGAAUCGAUGGUUGAAAAUAUUCAGGUUAUUGAACUACACUUUCGACCAAAUUUACCCAUGGCAUCAGUGCAAAAUGGUCCCGGAAGCACAGAGCAAGCCAAGGCGCUUGCAGCCCUCGAGGAACUCAAGAAGAUCAGUGAUCUUUUACGUCGUGUUUAA
rnacentral:rRNA from 1 species